rnacentral:rRNA from 1 species
UACAGAGGGUGCGAGCGUUAAUCGGAAUUACUGGGCGUAAAGCGUGCGUAGACGGUUUCGUAAGUCGGGUGUGAAAUCCCCGGGCUCAACCUGGGAAUUGCAUUCGAAACUGCGAGGCUAGGGUACGGAAGAGGGAAGCGGAAUUUCUGGUGUAGCGGUGAAAUGCGUAGAUAUCAGAAGGAACAUCAGUGGCGAAGGCGGUUCUCUGGCAUUACCUGACGCUGAGGAGCGAAAGUGUGGGGAGCGAACAGG